rnacentral:lncRNA from 1 species
UUUUAAGUCCAAACACACACAGUAAAUACAUUCAUAAUUAUUUGUUAGAAAACAGAUUACUUUAAAAUUAAAACGAUAUGAAGUAAUAAUUAUACAUGCAUAAUUCUAAUUAAUUUAAUAAAAAUGAAAUGGUCUUGACAAGUUGAGCAAUUAUUAUGCAGAUCUUACACAAACCAAUAGUGAAAUUAUAGAUAAUUAAAUCAGCAGAUGAAAAUGAUGGAGGGAUCACAGCAACAUUCAUCAAUUAUCCAACAGCAACACAAAGCUGCAAGACUAAGAAAAUAUAACACAAGUCAGAAUUAAUAUAUAAGUAAUUUUAUUUUAUUUAAAAAAAAUCCGUAAUAAUUAUUCAAACAAAGUCAUACUGUGUGUGUGUGUGUGUGUGUGUGUGUGUGAGAGAGAGAGAGAGAGUACCAUCCCUCAAGAAAACUAGGUUCUCUCCUGGGAGGAGCAGCAUAAUACUGUGGAGGUGCCACUACUGGAGGCCCUUGGUAAUAACCUAUUUUAUAUAUAUAUGUCAAGAAUUCACUGAUUUAACAUGUGAGAAAUCUCUUAUAAAGAUAUUAGUAACUGCAUAUAUAUGUAUGUAUAUGGAACACAGAUUAAGAACUAAC